rnacentral:rRNA from 1 species
CCUACGGGUGGCAGCAGUGAGGAAUAUUGGUCAAUGGACGAGAGUUUGAACCAGCCAAGUAGCGUGAAGGAUGACUGCCCUAUGGGUUGUAAACUUCUUUUAUAUGGGAAUAAAACAGGGUAUGCAUACCCUCUUGUAUGUACCAUAUGAAUAAGGAUCGGCUAACUCCGUGCCAGCAGCCGCGGUAAUACGGAGGAUCCGAGCGUUAUCCGGAUUUAUUGUGUUUAAAGGGAGCGUAGGUGGAUUGUUAAGUCAGUUGUGAAAGUUUGCGGCUCAACCGGAAAAUUGCAGUUGAAACUGGCAGUCGUGAGUACAGUAGAGGUGGGCCGAAGUCGUGGUGUAGGGGUGAAAUGCUUAGAUAUCACGAAGAACUCCGAUUGCGAAGGCAGCUCACUGGACUGCAACUGACACUGAUGCUCGAAAGUGUGGGUAGCAAACAGGAUUAGAUACCCCUGUAGUC